ensembl:lncRNA
CUUACCUGUGACCUCCUUUUUGGUCACCUGACUUCCUGUUGGUGUUGCUGAGCUUAGUUGCGGGUUACUUUUCCGAAGCCUCCAUCGCAGCUGAUGCGGAGUGCCGACGUGGAGGAGACCAGGGUGCCUUGGUGGUGGGAUCCUCUGAGUGUACACACCUGCCUUGUUUAAUUUAUAGUAUGCGGAGUGCCGACGUGGAGGAGACCAGGGUGCCUUGGUGGUGGGAUCCUCUGAGUGUACACACCUGCCUUGUUUAAUUUAUAGUGCCGCACAAGGGCUCCUUGCUGAGGUGUACCUGCCACGGCUAUCAAUAGAGUGAGUCGUCAUGGGCUAGCUAAUGCAGCCCACUCCCACUGAGGUAAUCCUUCAGAGGCAUCCCACGGCCUGAGAGAAAUGUCAGAGCGCUGCUGUGAGGAUCAGUCUGAACUUGCAUACAGAGAUAGAGAUAUAUCUUAUUUAAGCCUGAUUUAAUUUGGGCUGCUUGGCAAUGGUGAGGGAAAGUGUUGUGUGCAGAACAGAGGGUGGGAGCUGGGGAUGCGAAAAGUCUGUCUUUAUUUAGAGAAACUGGCUUUGGUACAACACAGGCCAGAUGCACGGCAAAGUGAACUGACAGAUGUAGUGGUCACAGAUAUUUCUCUGCUCAGAUUACCACCUGUACUAGUUCGACCAUAUGAAUAUUUAGUGAAUGCUGAAGUGCCUUCUUUAGUACGCCUUCCACAAACAACUGUAUUCUGCCACACUGGAUUUCUGGCACAAUUUGAAAGCGUAACAUUGAUAAUUCAUUUCUCAUACAGAGAGGGAGAAGCUCAAAACUUAUUAAUAAAACUUUGUGAAACAUGUGGUUUCACAGUUGUGUUCGGCUCCCUGCUGGGACCACUCAGAGAGGUUCCACUGGAUACCGUGGGUUUAUCUAAAGUCUUCUAACAAGUGCUACAAAUGGCUAACAAAGGUUACUGAUAACACUAAUCAGAACAAAUUCUUCUCAUUUAUUUCUUUGUUUCUUAUAUUUUAAUUGAUUUGCAAUCAAUCUGGAAAUUAAAUUGAUGAUUAAAUUAAACUUAAACUUGUGGUAGUUAAUUUGUGAGCUCACUCUAAAUCUCCUUGGUCAUGAAUUCAAGAAAGCACACAAAUCGGUGACCAUCUGCCAAAACCUGACAUGCUUCUGUAUCAAUAAGAGAAUCAAAAAGGAAUCAAAUUGAUAAGUGAUAUCGAUAAUGUAAACGGAAUCACUAAAUUCUUAUCGAUUCCCAUCUGUAGAUGUAAUCAACUCAAAGUUGAAUUGACUCCUAGCUGAAACCGUCUGGAUGCAAGUCACCUUGGACCAUUGUUUUAUACUAUCUUUAAAAAUGGCAUGCUACUCAUCAUUAAUAAGGCUACUAUUUCUAUGUAUGCAGAUGAUUCAGUAAUAUGUAUGGCAGCUAAUAAUGAAAAGAGUUAAAUGUAGCUCUAUAUUCUGAGUUACAAUCAGUAUAAAUGUAUAAAGAACAAUAAAUUAAUUUCUAAUGUGUCUCAGACAAAUAGCAUGACAUUUGGUUCUAACCAGGCUAUUAGAAAAAAUCUGAUUUGUAAGGUUUCCACUAAUGUGCCUGUUGAUCAAGUCCAUGAGACCAAGUUUCCAGGUGUAAUUUUAGAGAGUAAACUAUCCUGGACAGAACAUACUAAUGAAAUUGUUGUUAAAAGUUGUUAAAACAUGAAAUGGUAUCUCUGUAGGUAAAAGAUAUGCAAAUGUUUUUGUCACCAAAAUUGAUCAAGCAGUUAAUCCAGGCAUUGCUCUUGUCUCAUCUUAAUUAUUGUCCAGUGGUACAAUGGACCAGAUUAAGAAACUAACAAAUCUUGUAACAAUGCAUUCAUGUCUUAACUGGUUAACAGCAAAACAUUCAUGACUUUACCCUUUACUUGUAUUUUUCAGAAAUAUUAUUGUUACAAAGAUUUGAAUUAUUUUUUUAUAAAACUAGUAUUUCAGUGUAGCUGGACAUUAAUAUUCUAACAGACAGGGAAUAAUUUAUAUUAUCCUCCUUAGCAAGAAGCAGUUUAGUUAAAAGAGCAGUUUUAUACAUUGGUUUGAAGGAAUGUAAAUUUUAUGUAAAUGUUUUGUUAUCAAUGAGCAUAAGCCUGAUAUGGGGCAAAAUUUGUGUUGCAAGAAGCUGUUUUUGUUGCCUGCAUGUGUGUUAUUGUGUGAUGAUGUUGUGUGUGUUUUAUAGUGCACUGUCACGUUUUAAAGAUUUGUGACCCCAGGAAGAAUAGCUGUUGCAUUACUGCAUAUUUGGGCUACAUGCUCAAUAUCCAGUUGAAUCUGAGAACAAAAAUGCUUAAAAGUUUGCUGAGUUUGCCCACAAAAAAGGGUUUGAAGCUUUUUCUCCUGGAUGUUUGUACUUCUACCACCAUCUUUACUGUUGCAAAAUGUUCCCAACUGUUUAAAUAUUUCCAUCUGGACCGCACAACAUCAUAAUGUCCGUUAAACACGCAACACGAAAUAUUGACUGAUAACAAG